GGCGCAGCCUGAUGGAGCACACCGCGUGAGUGAAGAAGGGUUUCGGCUCCGUAAAGCUCUGUUGUUGAAGAAGAAUGUGCAAGAGAGUAACUGUUCUUGUAUUGACGGUAUUCAACCAGAAAGUCACGGCUAACUACGUGCCAGCAGCCGCGGUAAUACGUAGGUGGCAAGCGUUAUCCGGAUUUAUUGGGCGUAAAGCGAGCGCAGGCGGUUUUCUAAGUCUGAUGUGAAAGCCUUCGGCUUAACCGAAGAAGGGCAUCGGAAACUGGAUGACUUGAGUGCAGAAGAGGGCAGUGGAACUCCAUGUGUAGCGGUGGAAUGCGUAGAUAUAUGGAAGAACACCAGUGGCGAAGGCGGCUGCCUGGUCUGUAACUGACGCUGAGGCUCGAAAGCAUGGGUAGCGAACAGGAUUAGAUACCCUGGUAGUCCAUGCCGUAAACGAUGAGUGCUAGGUGUUGGAGGGUUUCCGCCCUUCAGUGCCGGAGCUAACGCAUUAAGCACUCCGCCUGGGGAGUACGACCGCAAGGUUGAAACUCAAAAAAUUUUGACGGG
rnacentral:rRNA from 4 species